GCUGCCAUCUCACAGCCACAGCCAGGAGCUGGACUGACAGAUUGCAAAUUCAAAUAGUCCUAAUGUAAGAAUGAAUUGAAUGCAACUCCCCUCCCUACCCCCCCAUCCCCCAAAUCUCUCCGAGCACCAGCCCGUUAGUAAUAAGCCCGGCACGGAGGGAGCGUUGCUGCGGCUGGGCUGGUCCUGCGCCCGGAGAAAGGCUAGGCAGGGACAAUAAAGCCAGUCCCGGGCAGAGAAAAUCACAAGGCAUUUGGAGACCAACAACAUCCCAGACCUGCUAGAGGAGCUCAGCAGGAGCAGAGCCAGCACUGCACCAACAUGUGGUUUGAACAGAGGCCUGUGGUAGUCCAACUUGCUGGAAACUUUUAUGUUCAAACCAGGAUGGAUCUUAUCUGAUAAGAAUUUGCCAAGGGCAUCAACAGCAGUUUUCCCAGGCUUCUGCACAAGGAUUAUAUACUCAAGCCACAAAUGACUCAAAUCUCUGAAAAAAAGAGGACAUGGUUAUCAGCCAGGCUUUGACGACAGCAAGGAUGGGAGCACUAUCUGCCUUCCUCCAUCAGAGAUGCUCAUUCCCCCUCAUUAACAUACUCAGGACAUCAGCACCAGCCAUCGCUCCCGGGGGAAUAGCUUCAAACUUUUAAGGGAAUAUGCACAAAACCUCCCCCCUGCAUUAUUUCUAACAGAUCAAAUCGCAUUUGCCUUGUGUGAGGGUUCUUCAAUCCCGUUGAGGAUGCACAGAGCUGAUCUCUAAGUCUGUGAUAUCUGCUGCCACUGUAAGUGUGAAAGAGAGAUGCCUCUACCUGCCUUUUCUUCUUGCCCUCUAAUGAAAAAUGAUUUUGGAGCAACACUGGAAAUAAGCCAUCAAAAUAUCUGAUUAAACCUCUUAGGAAACUGUCACUAAUCACCUUCCCUGCUCUUGAUGGAAUAUAUUUAUGCAUUAUAAAUACACUUACUAUGUGUGUGUGCUCAAUAAAUCACAUUCAGCCCUUGUAUGUGAUGUAUAAGCACAUUCUAUAGAAUACACACAAAUACAGAUGCCAAACUCCCACAGAGUUCAUCACUGGAAAAUGUUUGAAGGGUCUGAUCCUUAAUAUUUAAUGAGCAAGAUGCUAUUUCCUUCCUCAGCUUUUAUCUCUGGUUUGGCAUAGUCAUUAAAUUUGUUGUUUCCUUGCAAGAUUAUAUAAUUUAUGACCUAAUUUUAGACUUUUGUGUAACCAUGCUAAAAUACUCGUGGCGCAUCCGGCUUUCUUCAUGCGGAGCGUUGCGGCGUUAGCCACCAGCUAGAAGCUCAGCUAUGAGCUUCCCAUCAGCAAGGAGUUACAUGCAUUAAGGGAAAAACAGCCCAACAAUAUUCAGAGAGCAUUACAGGAUUAGAUUGUGGUUUAUUUUCUUUUUUUUUCUCUGUAAAAAUAUGAUUUAGCAGCAUUUCCAAAGCCCACCCUGUGCGGCGGUUGGCAGGGAUCCCCAGGUAGGUAAUGCUGUAAUCGCCCAGCAGCUCUUACUGCCUAAAAUAUUUUCCUGCAGCAGCUUCUGACUUUCUAGAUGGCUCUGGGAUGAAUUCAGACAGCCCUCAUCACAGGGAGGGAUGUUCAGAGCUGGGGAAAGCAGGUGAAGAAUGACACUUAGUGCUUCAAAGUGGCUGCCAGCCCCUUGCACUGAGAAGAAAGCAUUUCUCUGCAGCACCAGCCUGGCUGGGGGGAUUUUUUUGCUGCACAAGGUGUUGCCAGAUAACUCCUAAAUGAAUUACACUAAGGCUACAGGCACAUUAUUUUGUGCCUUCUGCAUGUCCAGGCUAAUUCAGUGGUGUCAUAAAUAGUGCCAUGAGUUUUGGGUGUUCUGUCAAUUUAAAGCAUAUUGUUUGGACCAGUCUUUCAUCAUAUCUAAUAUAUUGCCUAUUGCAUUAAUGCCUUUUGAGAGCACUUCAUUCUAGUGUUGAAGAGGGAAGCAGCUCAUGGUUGAGGACAAGGUAAGAUGCUUGCUGUGUGGAUGUAGCACAGUUAUGAGGUUUUUUUCCCCCCUCUGUUGCCUCUUUGCCCCUGAUGUAUCUAACACAGAUGCCAGAGGUAGGGUGCUGCAUCCCUAGUCCAGAACCCUGCACAACAAGGACCGUGUGCCUGCAGCUCACUGCAUCCCUCCAACAUGACAACUUAAUGCAGGGUAUGGGCUGAGGCAAGUGCCUACAGAAGGAAAAAUAAUCCUCCUGCAAAGGUGACAUUGUUUUUUGGAAUAAAAAAGGUUGGAAAGUGUAUCUGCUUGGCUUUAAUGGACCAGUUCCAGGAAAGCAGCAGACACCAAAGUGUUUUCAGUAUCACAUAAUUCAAGAGUAAAAUCAUAAUUCCUGUUACCAUUUCAGCUGUUUCUGGCCUUGGGAAACCUAUGCUAAUAUUUAUUAUUGUAUGACUGACCUAUGAUUUCUUCAUCAUUUACAUUAACAGCUCUGAUAUUCAUAGUAACAUCCUUUAAAUCAUAUAAGCAGAUGUCAACAGUGCAUGAUGAAGUCAUAUCCUGCUGCUUUUUUAUUUACUUAGUCCUUUUUUUCUUUUCUUCCCCCCCCUCCCCCCUGGUAAAAUAACAUUGUGAGAUUGCAUAAUCUCACCUCCACCAGGCCUCUAGGGGCAUAUAUAACCAGGGAAUGUAUUUUCUAUAAUCUCACAAAAUGAGUCAAUUCUAUCAGAGGUACAAACAGUUAUACAGAGUCAGUAUUUCACUCCCAUCACUGCCUGACAUCAUCUUCCACACAGUACAUGAAAAUAUUUACAUAGCUCUUUGACAUGAAUUGCCACAAAGCUUUUGGAGGAACAACAACACAAAUGAGGAAAGUGAGGAAUUAAACCAGCAUAAUGUCAUUGAAAGAAUUUAGCUCCUUUUCUGGGUGCAGCAUUUUGAGCGGGAACUUUGUCAGAUGCCCUCUCACAGUCUUCUGACCGGUCAUAGACACCUCUAAUCUCUACUCUCCGGUGAAGUGCCUAUCUACUACACACAAUCAGAGAGCUGUCCAGAAUAUCCACAAGCUGGAAGCUGAUCCUCUUUCUUCAUCAUCCUCUGAAUGUUUUCUUUGCCCAAGUGAGUUUCUUCGGGUGAAUUAAGACACUGCAUUUAUUUUCCAGGCAGUUUCCCGAGACAUUUCUGUUUACCAUGCAAAGUACCACAGAACAGGCAAUACUUGACAACAUCUUAUUGUUCCAUAUGAGCAUUACCAGCUGUAAUUCUUAUGAGCCCUAAAAUCACUUUUUAUUCCUUCUGCUUUUCCCAGCACAGAGACAGCAGUGACAGGCUCUUUGGAGUUGGACUGAUGGAUUUCCAUCCGGAGAGCACAGCUACUUCUGUACCAUGCAGAUGCCCUCAAGAAUACCUUCUGUCCAGUACCAGCCAGGAUGUGAAGCUCAACAGCCGCAGCCAUCACUUCUGCUCAUCACAGUAGCUGUUACUACCCUGCAAAUAUCAAGAUUAAUGCUCUGUUGGGGAAUAUUCUGCACACACCACCACGUUGCCUCCUGAGUAUGCUGAGAGAGCAAGAACUGGCUGGGAAAGGUAUUGCACUUCUGACAGACAAA